CUGUAACACUCACCGCGAGGGUCCGCAGCUUCAUUCUUGAAGUCAGCGAGACCAAGAACCCACCGGAAGGAAUAAAUUCCAGACAGAGUAAAGGGCAGGACUUAUAGGCAGUUGGAAUGUCAAUUAAGUCUUGGAGAAGGCAGCCUGCUUUUAGUGCUUCCGCCAUAGGAUCUUUAUUUUGAUUGUCUGAGAGACAUCUUGGAGUAUUGAGAAGAGAAAUGAACUAGUAGACCCAAGAUCUGCCUCAGGCUGGGAGGAGUGGAACAGUGUGAGCUC
rnacentral:lncRNA from 1 species